UACAGAGGCGGCAAGCGUUGUUCGGAAUUAUUGGGCGUAAAGAGCACGUAGGCGGCUGUGUAAGUCGGUUGUGAAAGCCUUCCGCUCAACGGAAGAACGGCAUCCGAUACUGCAUGGCUUGAGUGUGGGAGGGGAGAGUGGAACUUCUGGUGGAGCGGUGAAAUGCGUAGAUAUGCGGAGGAACACCGGUGGCGAAGGCGGCCAUCUGGACGACAACUGACGCUGAGACGCGAAAGCGUGGGGAGCAAAC
rnacentral:rRNA from 1 species